rnacentral:rRNA from 1 species
GUGGGGAAUAUUGGACAAUGGGCGAAAGCCUGAUCCAGCCAUGCCGCGUGUGUGAAGAAGGUCUUCGGAUUGUAAAGCACUUUAAGUUGGGAGGAAGGGCAGUAAGUUAAUACCUUGCUGUUUUGACGUUACCGACAGAAUAAGCACCGGCUAACUUCGUGCCAGCAGCCGCGGUAAUACGAAGGGUGCAAGCGUUAAUCGGAAUUACUGGGCGUAAAGCGCGCGUAGGUGGUUUUGUAAGUUGGAGGUGAAAUCCCCGGGCUCAACCUGGGAACUGCCUCCAAAACUGCAUGACUAGAGUACGGUAGAGGGUAGUGGAAUUUCCUGUGUAGCGGUGAAAUGCGUAGAUAUAGGAAGGAACACCAGUGGCGAAGGCGACUACCUGGACUGAUACUGACACUGAGGUGCGAAAGCGUGGGGAUCAAACAGGAUUAGAAACCCGUGUAGUCC